rnacentral:lncRNA from 1 species
GACAUUUGAAGAACCUCCAGAGGAAGCAGUAGAUACCUUUCUCAGCUUAGAAGCAGGACUGAGCUGCCUGUUGUCAGAUGUGCAGUAUGCCUUAUUGAUUAUGAGUGGAUUGUGUAUCGCAGUGUUCAGAUCCACAUCAGGCAAAUAUGGUUUCUUUGAUCCACACUCCAGAACACCCAGUGGUCUUUCUCUAUUACUACAGUCACGUAAUCGUGGUACAGCUGUGAUGCUGAGAUUUACACUCCUCAGUGACAUGAUUAAGAGGCUACAAGAUUCUUAUCAAAUGAUGGAGAUAUCACCUUCUUGUAACUAUGAGCUGAAGCCUGUGCAGUUUUACAGUAUGAGCACAGUCAACCUAAGUGAUACUAUCAGAGACACAGUCUGCAGACCAACAGCUGCCACUGCUGUGGCACCUACUCACUCUGAUACAACUGUUGAUGAAGCAAACCCCUCUACUCCAAGGAGAAACACAACCACUGAUCUGACUGAGAACAUCUUUUGUCAAAUGUCCAUUUGUGCGCCACUGGUGAAACAAAAAGAAGUCCACAUGACUCAGUUCACAUCAUAUGAAGAUCAGAAUGAACCUCCUAAUAUACCAACUGAAGCACUAUGCAGUGAAUUAAAUUUUUUUCCAUCGAAUGAUGCUUUUUCAUGUCAAUCAAAUGCUGCAAUAACAAAUGUUGCUGCCUGUGAUCUUUCUGAUAUAGUUUUACAAAAACUGAAAAAAGUUAAUAAACAACAAAGGCACAAAAUGAAAAGAAGAUUAAUGGCAUCAGAGAAACCCAGAAAUCAGAGAAAAGAAAACCAAAAAAGCAAAGAACGACAAAAGUAUGCUUCAAACAAAGAGUACAAAGAAAAGAAAAAAUCUUGCACAAACGAGGCAUAUAAAAACAAUCCUGAAGUUAGACAGAAAAAACAACAGUACAUGAAAAGACGUUACUGUGAAAAUGAUGAAUUCAGAAAGAAACAAAAACAAUAUGUUAAAAGACGUUUUUCUGAGAAUGCUACAGUAAGAAAGAAACAACAACAAUAUAUUAAAAGACGCUACUGUGACAAUGCUGAAUUUAGACAAAAACAAAAAAGCUAUAUCACUAAAAGGUAUCAAGAGAGCCCAGAAUUCAGAGAGAGACAGAGAUCUCGAGUGACUCAGCGUUAUGCACGUGACAAUGCAUUCAGAGUAAGACACAGACAACUAAUGAAACAACUAAUGCGAGACAGGUAUCAAAGUAAUCUUGCAUUCAGGAUUAUGCACAACAUGAGAUGUGCCAUGAAAAUAAAAAGGAAAUACAGAUGGGUGAACAGACAAACCCAAGAGAGUGACAACAGUGUGAUCAACGAGGCCAUAUCUGUGUUCAAAUCACAAAUCAAAGUUGGACCAUCAUACCCAUGUACUGUGUGUUUCAAGGCUUCAUUUCCAAACCAAGUGCGACCCUGCACAAGGUCAAAUUAUGUCAAAAACCCACAUGUGGUUGCAACAUGUUUGACAGGAAAGUUUGUUCAUGUUUGUGAUGAAAACUGCAGAAAUGAGCAGUGCAAUGUGCCUGAUGAGAGAAAGAGAGAGUGGAUUUGUCACACCUGCCACAAUCAUCUUAAAAAUGGAUCCAUGCCAGCACUUGCUGUUGCCAAUAAACUGGAUCUUGCUGAUAUUCCACCUGAACUGUCUGAUCUCAACAUACUGGAGAGACAUCUCAUAGCCAAGUGCAUACCAUUUGCCAAGAUCAUUCCUCUUCCCAAAGGCAAACAGAGAGCAAUUAGAGGAAAUGUGGUCUGUGUCCCAUCAGAGGUACAGGAAACUGUUGAAGCAUUGCCUCGAUUGAGAAUUAAUUCUCAGGUGAUGAGAGUUAAACUGAAGAGACGCUUGUCUUACAAAGGUCAUCAGCUGUUUCAGACUGUGAGCUGGUCUAAACUUGUGCAAGCACUGCAUAAACUGAAGCAGAUUCAUCCACAGUAUAAGGAUGUGAGCAUCAGAGAUGAUGCUGAGCUGUGUGAUCCAACACUUCCUGAUGAAGAUGAUGAGGAGGAUGAUGAUGAAAACAUGAAUGAGGACGAUUAUGAUGAGGCUGAUUUAAUGGAAAUUGACAGCUGUGAGAAAAAUGCACUGAGUGAAGCACAAAAUAAAAAUGAACAGGAUAUUGACAUGUUAUCCUGUGAUGGUGAACAACCACGUGAACAGAUGAGAGAUGAUUCAGAGCAAGAAGAUGGGCUGACUAAUGGUGGUUUUGCACUCGAGUCCUGUUUGCAGCCCCCUGAUGUGGCUGAGGAGAUAUUAUGUUUCAGUGAAGGAAUCUACUCUGUUGCUCCUGCAGAGCGAAACAAUCCAAUAAGUUUUUUCAAAACACCUAAACUGGAGGCCAUGGCCUUCCCUGUCCAGUUUCCUACAGGCCAAAACACACUUGAUGAAAGAAGGCUGAUCAAAGUAUCCCCCAGUGGGUAUUUCAAAUCAAGGCUUUUCUGCAUUGAUGAUCGUUUUGCCAAAGACACAAACUAUUUGUUCUUUGCACAGUUUGUGACUGAAAUACACUUGGCUACUUCCAGCAUGACAAUACAGUUAAGAAAGGCAAAGCCUCUGACCAGAGAUGGGAGAAAAAUAACCUCAGGUAUGUUACAAGAUAAACAUGAGGUGGAGAAACUGGUGCGAAAUAAAGACGCAGUGAGAUUCAUGCAGCCUCUGAGAGGAACCCCAGCCUAUUGGGAGAAAACAACAAGAGAUCUUUUUGCCAUGAUCAGACAGUUGGGAACUCCCACGUUCUUUUGCACAUUUUCAGCUGCUGAAAUGCGCUGGCCUGAAGUGAUUGAGGCAAUAACAAGGCAGCAAGGUGAACAAGUGAAUUUUGAAGGUCUCGACUGGUCAGCAAAGUGUGACAUCCUGAGAAGCAAUCCUGUAACAACAAUGCGCAUGUUUGACAAGAGAGUUGAAGCAUUAUUUAGAGAUUUACUCUUAUCUCCUGCAGAGCCACUUGGCAAAGUCAUUGACUACUUUUACAGAGUCGAGUUUCAGCACAGAGGAAGCCCACACAUACACUGUCUCCUGUGGGUAGAAGGUGCUCCUGUGUUUGAGGAGGAUGAUGAUCAAACUGUUGUUGAUUUUAUAAACAAAUACAUCACAGCUCAGCUGCCUGAUCCACAUAAACAACCUGAACUGUACAAGAAAGUAACAGAAGUGCAAAAACACAGUAAGAACCACACGAAGACGUGCUUUAGGAGUUUAAGCUCCGGGUGCCGUUUUGGUUUUCCUAAACCACCCUGCAAUGAGACAAUGAUCACAAGACCCAGUGAGGAUGAUGAACUGGAGGUAGAAACAGCAAAGAACAAGCUCAG